AGAGUUUGAUCAUGGCUCAGGAUGAACGCUAGCGAUAGGCUUAACACAUGCAAGUCGAGGGGCAGCAAGUCUUCGGAUGUUGGCGACCGGCGCACGGGUGAGUAACACGUAUGCAACCUACCCAUAACUCUGGGAUAGCCCGUUGAAAGACGGAUUAAUACUGGAUAAUACAGGGGCACCACAUGGUGAUAUUUGUUAAAGAUUUAUUGGUUAUGGAUGGGCAUGCGUUCCAUUAGGUAGUUGGUUGAGGUAACGGCUCACCAAGCCAUCGAUGGAUAGGGGAACUGAGAGGUUUAUCCCCCACACUGGUACUGAGACACGGACCAGACUCCUACGGGAGGCAGCAGUGAGGAAUAUUGGUCAAUGGGCGAGAGCCUGAACCAGCCAAGUCGCGUGAAGGAUGACGGUAUUAUGUAUUGUAAACUUCUUUUAUUAGGGAAUAAAGUUAGGGACGUGUCCUUAUUUGUAUGUACCUGAUGAAUAAGCAUCGGCUAACUCCGUGCCAGCAGCCGCGGUAAUACGGAGGAUGCAAGCGUUAUUCGGAUUUAUUGGGUUUAAAGGGUGCGUAGGCGGGUUAAUAAGUCAGCGGUGAAAUCUUGGAGCUUAACUCCGAAACUGCCGUUGAAACUGUUAGUCUUGAGUGUGAACGAGGUAGGCGGAAUUCGUGGUGUAGCGGUGAAAUGCUUAGAUAUCACGAAGAACUCCAAUAGCGCAGGCAGCUUACCAGGCCACCACUGACGCUGAUGCACGAAAGUGUGGGUAUCAAACAGGAUUAGAUACCCUGGUAGUCCACACAGUAAACGAUGAAUACUAACUGUUUGCGAUAUACAGUAAGCGGUACAGCGAAAGCGUUAAGUAUUCCACCUGGGGAGUACGCCGGCAACGGUG
rnacentral:rRNA from 1 species